rnacentral:rRNA from 1 species
GGGGACAGGGUGACAGGUGGUGCAUGGUUGUCGUCAGCUCGUGUCGUGAGAUGUUGGGUUAAGUCCCGCAACGAGCGCAACCCUUGACCUUAGUUGCCAGCAUUCAGUUGGGCACUCUAAGGUGACUGCCGGCUAAAAGUCGGAGGAAGGUGGGGAUGACGUCAAAUCAUCAUGCCCCUUAUGACCUGGGCUACACACGUGCUACAAUGGGUGGUACAAAGGGCAGCGAAACCGCGAGGUGGAGCGAAUCCCAAAAAACCACUCUCAGUUCGGAUUGCAGGCUGCAACUCGCCUGCAUGAAGCCGGAAUCGCUAGUAAUCGCGGAUCAGCAUGCCGCGGUGAAUACGUUCCCGGGUCUUGUACACACCGCCCGUCACACCACGAGAGUUUGUAACACCCGAAGUCGGUGGGGUAACCCUUACGGGAGCCAGCCGCCGAAGGUGGGACAAAUGAUUGGGGUGAAGUCGUAACAAGGUAGCCGUAUCGGAAGGUGCGGCUGGAUCACCUCCUUUCUAA